CCUACGGGAGGCAGCAGUGGGGGAUAUUGCACAAUGGGGGGAACUCUGAUGCAGCGACGCCGCGUGGGUGAAGAAGCGCCUCGGCGCGUAAAGCCCUGUCAGCAGGGAAGAAAAUGACGGUACCUGAAGAAGCAGCCCCGGCCAACUACGUGCCAGCAGCCGCGGUAAUACGUAGGGGGCAAGCGUUAUCCGGAUUUACUGGGGGUAAAGGGGGCGCAGACGGUGAUGCAAGACUGGAGUGAAGGCACGGGGCCCAACCCCGGGACGGCACUGGAAACUGCGUGGCUGGAGUGCAGGAGGGGCAAGCGGAAUUCCUGGUGUAGCGGUGAAAUGCGUAGAUAUCAGGAGGAACACCGGUGGCGAAGGCGGCCUGCUGGACUGCAACUGACGUUGAGGCCCGAAAGCGUGGGGAGCAAACAGGAUUAGAUACCCGAGUAGUC
rnacentral:rRNA from 1 species